GCCGGGUGCAGUGGCUCACACCUGUAAUCGCAGCACUCUGGGAGGCCGAGGUGGGCAGAUCACCUGAGGUCAGGAGUUUGAGACCAGCCUGGAGCCUGGCCAACAUGGCGAAACCCUGUCUCUACUAAAAAUACAAAAAUUAGCUGGUGUGGUGGCAUGCGCCUGCCAGCUACUUGGGAGUAAUCCCAGCUACUCAGGAGGCUGAGGCUGGAGAAUUGCUUGAACCCAGGAGGCAGAGGCUGCAGUGAGCUGCGAUCAUGCCACUGCACUCCAGCCUGGGCCACAGAGUGAGACUCCGUACCCCCACCCCCAACAAAAAAGAAAAAAAGAAAAAGAAAAAUUAGCAUUCCCCCCUCCCCUCUGAUAGCUGGGUCCACCUUCCUGGCCCCACAUCUUAGUGUUGGAUGGCGCUGUGCUUGCUGACCACGUGUCACUUGCACACUUUCCCCAGCUUCAGUCUGCCAGGAUAGGGUGACAGCAUGGGGCCCAGGACCCACAGGGAGGAGACCAGCAGAGGCAGGUGGGAUCAGGACUUGACCUUCCUCUUUCAAUAACUCUAAAUUAGUUCUUGCUACUUUCACUCGUUCAGGUUGACAGACUCCCUGAGACAUGCAGACGUGACUUCCUAAGCAUCAUUCGUGCGUCCAUCCCAGCCCUGCCGGACCAUGUCUGACCUGGGCUCAGGAUGGCACUGGCACCCAGGGGUGAUUUAGGGGUUAGGUUUCAGCGGGCUCUACCUGAGGUGGGCUCAGGUCACAGAGCACAGCCAGGAAGGAGAACCAAGCUCUUCUAGAAGUGUAUGGAAAGAGUUCCAGGAGGAAGAGCUGCCAGGCUGGGCCUGGAGUUGGCCAGGAUCAAGGCUGGCUGCAACAUUUAUCCAGGCCCAAACCCAACAUAGACGGAGUCCAGCCCCACCAGGCAUGGUAGCAUUUUUUGUGAUCUGGAGUAAGACCCUCUACUGGCAACUUCACUGGAAAUUCCCUGCAGCAGAAGCCCAUUCUCCACACAACGGUGGACUCAGAACGCCCAUGUGCAAGGCUGGCUAUGGACGUGGAGUGGGGUCCUCAGAAGCCCCGAGCUUCCUCUGAAGAGCCUCUUAGAUCCAGGCUUUGGGGCACACACUUGGAGAAUCUCUGCUUUAGCAGGAGGGUUCUAAGGAAGGAAUGAACCUUGUUGGACUCCAGGGGGUCAAGGGGAAUCCUGGAUGUUAGCAUGAGAGCCCCAGAUGAGCCUGAGCUUCUGUUCAGUCCUGCCACCCAUCCUGCCUGGAGAGCCUGGGUCCAGGAAAGAGACCUCUGGAGGUCCUUGCUUUUGCAAAGGAAGCAGUUUUUCACACAGCUUCUGUGGCCAACUACUAGCGUCCAGUGUUGUUUCAGUUGAGAUUCCUGAUGAGCCCAGUUUUAUCUUUUUGCACCCUCCUUCAAUUUCCUUGUGUGUAAAAUGGGAUGACCAUCUCCUCGGUAAGAUGUCAGGUGGUGAGCACAGUGCCUGCAUGUGGUAAGUGCUAAAGAAAAGUAAUUAGAAUCAGUAAAACUGAAGAACUCUUUAGAAAAAGCAGUCACCUGUGCUGGCUGAGCUUGUGUAAAAGAAAGAUUUACUGACUCAGUUUUAAUUUCUGUGAAUACACCUUUGUGUAGUGAGGAGCAAACCAAGAGGACUGAGCCUUGGGCCUGCCAGCAACUCACCUGAUGCCUUUCUCUGGGCCUCAGUUUUUCUCUCUCUGAAGUGGAUGUGUGUCAUAUGACCCAGAGAUUUCUAAUCUAUCUUCUCCAGCUAGAUUCUUGCAUUAGGGGUGAACUUGUUCAUUGGGUAGAGUUGCUUCCCCUGGUUUGGAGAGGCAGCAUUUGCAGCCCCAGAGGCUAUCAGGGAUAAGGGUGUUGGGCCAAGAAUAGCUGGGCCAGGAGCAAUAAACUGUUAAGGGCUUGAUGAGUCUGAGCAACUGACCAAUAACAUCCAAUGCCCCUGGAACCUGGCAACUCCAACUUUAGGUGGCAGAGGAUUAAACACAUUUUGCCUCAAGGUGAGUCUGUACAGGUCCCCAGUGGUCUCUGGGCCUGCCUUCCAGCUCUGUGAGGAACAGGAGCUGAGCAAGUGCCUACAGUCACCACGCUGCCUACAGUGUCCAGGGGAUUCUAGCCUGGAUAGGAAAACUGGCUUGGCUGAGUGGACUGUCCCAGGGUGAGGAUCUGGGAAUGAGCAUAUGGGGAUGGCAGACUACCACACGCCCUGGAAGCUGGAGAGGAAGGAGGCACCCAGGACAGAAGGUGAGGUUGCCCCAGGUCAACAACUUCCAGAUGAGAUCCACCUUGAGUCAUGAUCCUCAGAUGCCAAGCCACAGGAACCUCAUCACCCACCUCAUCAUCCAAACUGGAACUUGAUGGAAAUCAUUCCACAACUAUGUGUUGGUGGGUUGUCUUCUUAAUACUUGGAAGGAGGUCUUAAUACUUAUCCCACUGAAAUCAUGCUACCUACACCUAGCAAAACAUACAUCAAAGAAAAACUUCUAACUGGGUAUAUCACAUGCCCACUGUACUAACACACUGGAGAACCCCCAACAACAGGAGGCCCGGGGAGAGUCCCUGACCCACAGGGACUUCAGGUCAAGACCACACCCACCAUCCUUUCAAGGUGGAGACAGUCCCCGUAGGAACCAAACUGAUGUAUAAUAAAACUCAUCAUUUAUUUCUCUUCUCCCUACAGCAUUUCAGCCAGUGAAUGGUAGAAUUUUGCAGGAAUAAGAAUUAGAGGUGUAGAGGGUUUUGAGAUGCGGGGUGGGUCAGGUUUCACUACUCAAGGACCCUAAGACAGGUUUUUGGAAGAAGUGUGUGUGUGUGUGUGUGUGUGUGUGUGUGUGUGUGUAGGACCACAUUCAGCCACUCCCAUGGGCAAGUAUGACAUAUGACCACUCCUCUCUUCUUGCCCCCUGGCCUCCUUAACCUAGAAGUCACCUUGCUGGCUCAUGGGAUUCCUUGAUACUUCUGCAAUCCAGCUUCUCCGCUCCAACAGGCUGUCCCUGCCCAGCUGAGCUGGCCCACCCAGGGUUCCCUCACAGUGCUAUGGGCCUCCACUGGCCCCCUCUGCACAGCCCAUCCUCUCCAAUCUUUCUUUCCAAAGUGAAAUCUACCAAUGCUUACUCUUUGGCUCUGGCCACAUGAGAGACAGACAGACAUACAGACACACACUUCUUUCUUUUUGCCUUGGCUCACCACUAUUCAAUGCCUGGAAGCCUUAUUUUCUCCCUUGGGAACCUCCACUCAGUCUUUACAACUGUCAUCUCCUCCAGGAAGUCAUCCCUGCUCUUCUUCC
rnacentral:lncRNA from 10 species